AAGAAAUCGAAAAGCUUUAGUUUACUAUAGAAAAUUUCAAGAAGCAUUCAAAAACUCAUUUCUUGAAAAGAGUAGUAGCAGCCUUGAUCAUGAAUUCAGAACGUAGCAUCCACCUUCCAUUAACAAUAUGCAUCAAAUAGCAGCAUAGUAGAAGCAUUGAACGUGAAAAGAAAUCGAAAAGCUCUAUUUUUCCAUAGAAAAAAUUUCAAAAAGCAUCCAAGAACUUAAUUCUUAAAAAGAGUAGUAGAAGUCUUAAUCACGAAUUCAAAACUUAGCACCCACCUUCAAAUAACAAUAUACAUUAAAUAGCAGCAUAGCAGAACUAGUAUCGAACAUGAAAAAAAAUCGAAAAGCUUUGGUUUUCCAUAGGAAAGAUUAGCAUCCAAGAACUUGAUUCUUGAAAAGAGUGGUAGAAGCUUUAAUCACGAAUUCAGAACUUAGCAUCCACCUUCUAUUAACGAUAUGCAUCAAAUAGCAGCAUAGUAGAAGCAUUAAACAUGAAAAGAAAUCAAAAAGCAUUGAUUUUUCAUAAAAAAGAUUUUAAAAAGCUUCCAAGAACUAGAUUCUUGAAGUAGAAGCUUUGAUCACGAAUUUAGAACUUAGCAUCCACCUUCCAUUAACAAUAUGCAUCAAAUAGCAGCAUAGCAAAAGCAUUGAACAUGAAAGAAGAUCAAAAAGCUCUGAUUUACUAUAGAAAAGAUUUCAAGAAGCAUCAAAAAAAUUGAUUCUUGAAAAGAGUGGUAGAAACCUUGAUCACGAAUUCAAAACUUAGCAUUCAUCUUCCAUUAGCAAUAUGCAUCAAAUAGCACCAUAGCAGAAACAUUAAACAUGAAAAGAAACCAAAAAACUCUGGUUUACUAUAGAAAAAAUUUCAAGAAGCUUUCAAGAACUAGAUUCUUGAAAAGAGUGAUAGAAGCCUUGAUCACGAAUUCAGAACUUAGCAUCCAACUUUCAUUAACAAUAUGCAUGAAAUAGCAGCAUAGUAGAAGCAUUGAACAUGAAAAAAAUCAAAAAGUUCUGGUUUUUCAUAGAAAAUAUUUUAAAAGCAUUCAAGAACUUGAUUCUUAAAAGAGUGGUAGAAGUCUUGAUCACGAAUUCAAAACUUAGCAUCCACCUUCAAAUAACAAUAUACAUCAAAUAGCAGCAUAGCAGAAGUAUUGAACGUGAAAAGAAAUCGAAAAGCUCUGGUUUUCUAUAGAAAAAAUUUCAAGAAGCAUUCAAAAACUCGAUUCUUAAAAAGAGUGGUAGAGACUUUGAUCACGAAUUUAGAACUUAGCAUCCAUCUUCCAUUAACAAUAUGCAUCAAAUAGCAGCAUAGUAGAAGCAUUGAAUGUGAAAAGAAAUCGAAAAACUCUGGUUUACCAUAGAAAAGAUUUGAAGAAGCAUCCAAGAACUUGAUUCUUGAAAAGAGUUAUAGAAGCCUUGAUCACGAGUUCAAAACUUAGCAUCCACCUUCUAUUAAUAAUAUGCAUCAAAUAGCAGCAUAGCAGAAGUAUUGAACAUGAAAAGAAAUAAAAAAAACUCUAGUUUUCAAUAUAAAAGAUUUCAAAAAGCAUCCAGGAACUUGAUUCUUCAAAAGAGUGGUAGAAGCCUUGAACACGAAUUCAGAACUUAGCAUCUACCUUCUAUUAACAAUAUGCAUCAAAUAGGGUCAUAACAGAAGUAUUGAACGUGAAAAGAAAUCGAAAAGCUCUGGUUUACCAUAGAAAAGAUUUCAAGUAGCAUCCAAGAACUCGAUUCUUAAAAAGAAUGGUAGAAGCCCUAAUCAUAAAUUCAGAACUUAGCAACCACCUUUCAUUAACAAUAUGCAUCAAAUGGCAGCAUGCAGAAGCAUUGAACGUGAAAAUUUUUUCGAAAAGACUCUGGUUUACCAUAGAAAAGAUUUCAAGAAGCAUCUAACAACUCGAUCCUUGAAAAGAGUGGUAGAAGCUUUAAUCACGAUUUCAGAACUCAACAUCCACCUUUCAUUAACGAUAUGCAUCAAAUAACUGCAUAGCAAAGCAUUGAAUGUGAAAAGAAAUUGAAAAGUUCUGGUUUACCAUAAAAAAGAUUUCAAGAAGAAUCCAAGAACUCGAUUCUUAAAAAAAAUAGUAGAAGCCUUGAUCACGAAUCUGGUAAGCAGAACUCAACAUCCCCCUACAAUAACAACAUGUAUCAAAUAGCAGCAUAGCAAAAGCAUUGAAUGUGAAAGAAAAUCGAAAAGCUCUGCUUUACAAUAAAAAAAGAUUUCAAAAAUCAUCCAAAAAUCCGAUUCUUGAAAAGAGAAGUAGAAGCAUUGAUCAAGAAAAGAAGUCGAAGCAACCUAUUCUCUUGCAAAAGAGAUUUCAAGAGAACUCGAAGAACCCAAUUCUUGAACGACAUAGUAGAAGCGUUAAGCAUGAAAAGGAGUCAGAAAGCCCUGCUCUUUUGUAAUACAAGAUUCCAAGAAAAUCCAAUAACACAGUUCCUGACAAGAGUACCGAGGACCGUGACGCGAAUCUUUGGACUCUGGACAUUCCCUUCUGCUUCCUGUCUCCCCCACCGAUUAUGGUUGUGGCAUGGUCCUCCACCAUAUAAAGAAUGGCAGUUUCGAUCCAAGAAUCCUUCACGCCUUAGGGUUUUGAGGGUUUUGGUAGAAGGGGAAGACGUCGUGAAUACAAAGAAAGAAUGGGAUCGAGAGGAGACGAUCUUGAACAAUCAAAGAAGAUGAGAGAAGAGUAGCCGGAGAGAACUGAAGGCGGUGUUUCUUGGAACGGGC
rnacentral:lncRNA from 1 species